UCCCUGGUGACCUAGUGGUUAGGAUUUAGUGCUUUUGCUGCUGUAACCAAGGUUCAAAUCCUGGUCAGGGAA
rnacentral:tRNA from 1 species